UUACAGUCAUAUAAAUAGAGGUCGGCCGAAAGCGGUAUCCAGUCGCAGUUUUGGUGUUGCAUGAACCUUUUUGUAAAGCUCGGCAAAGUUGUUUCCUGUGAGAAAUGACUUCUCAGACGCCUUCUACAGUACCAUCAACAGUUCCAUCAACGCUGUCUUCAGUUCUGUCUUCCCUUAAGAAGUACGAGUAUCUCUUAGCGAGCCGUUCAAAUACCUUGGUCGCGCUCGAGACAAGUGUUUGCGCCUGUUUUAUCAUCGCAGCGCUUCUCGGCAACUUUCUUGUGCUGUGGAUCGUCUACAAGAACCGCAACCUCCGUACCAUCCCCAACCAGUUCGUGGUCUCUCUCGCCUUGGCGGAUAUCUUGAUGGCGGCGAUAUGUGCACCACCGUGCCUUUCCGUCCUCAUAUCGGGUAGGCGCACUUUUGGAGAAUUUGUCUGUCAACUCCAGGGCUUUGCUAUAGCUUCUCUAGCUUGUGUGUCUCUGUUGACCAUGACACUUGUUGCCGUCAACCGCUACUUUUUAAUCGUACGCCCUCAGCAGUAUCAAAGACUUUUCACGCCAAAGAAAACGAAGAUCAUGAUCGUAGCAGUUUGGAUUUUCUCAUGUUGCGAGCCACUACCGUAUCUGUUGUCUGGGCAUCGUUAUCAGUACCAUGCUGGCAAGGUGUUCUGUUUUCAAGUCCUUGAGGUUGAUUUCUUUACACUCCUGGGGUACGUCUACGUCGUGGUGCCCAUCUUUGUGCUCACAUCGUGCUAUUACACGGUCUUCAAGAUGCUGAGAGAGCACCAAGCGCGCAUUCGAAGCUUGAGAAAAUCAAACAACAAGUCUUCAACCCGUCGUGUUUCCAUCGAGGACAUCAAUGUCACACGAACCCUUUUCUUGACCGUCUGCGGGUUCUUGAUUUGCUGGAUUCCCAUCAGUAUCGUUGAUUUCAUUGGGUUUGGUCAGGGAACGUGGGAACUGUCUCGACAGGUGUAUCUAAUGUACACGUUCCUAGGGCAGUUGAGUACUACGCUAAAUCCAUUCAUCUACGGCGUCAUGAACAAGACUUUCCGGGAUGAAUACAAAGUAAUGCUUUGUAGCUGCAACUUGUGCUCAAGGAAAAGAAACGAGACGCUUGAUUCAGAUUCUUCUCAACAGACGCGUAUCAGUAAGUGUUCCUUCAUCUAAAACCUUGCGAUUUCGAGUCUACAGUUACCGAGACACUGACAUCGACUCUAAGAUCUACGACAAGAAUGCUGUAUGUGAGUACCAAGAACUUCGUAGCAGUGACACAAGACUGAAGACUACAAAAGCCAUAGCGAGGAAAGGUCGGCUAUUCAAACACUGCAGAAAGAUAAGAUUUCUUAACUAGCUUGGUACUAUUGACGGACUUUUAAGUCAUCAACUAAAGUGUAUUAACACAAGCAAAAUGAUUUUUAAACCGAUUAGUAUCAAGAUAGGAAAGGAUGUUAUCAUAAAAAAACGUGGGCCAUUCGGAAAAGUGAAAAAAUACGAGAUGUACUGAAUUAGUGGAAAGUUGUUUUCACUAACUCAUUGGGAGAUGGCUAAUGACUUAAUAGGAGUGAGCGUUGAGCGUGAGAUGGGCCUCAAAUGAAACAACAACACUUGUGGUCAAAUGGCCAGGAAAGUUUUCUUCAAAGGCAAAGAGAGGACAAUGAGAAUUCUAAAACGUUAGAGGAUGAAGAAGAGUGAAACAGGUUCUGAAGAGAAGUCGGAAGGAAGUUACCUAUUUAUUUGAUUUAACCUAUAUAUCAGGUAGACUUCGGUCUAACAGACUUUAGUGAACAUUGUUAUCUAGUUUUUGUUUCAUUUUCUAUUUUCUUUUCUUUUUCUUUUUUCUUCAUUUUCUUUUUACCUUCUUCAUUAUCCUUCUGAUCCCUUCGCUUUCUCCAUCUUCUUUUUUUCUUAUGCAUUUUUAGACAUGGACAACCAGUCCAAGUAUAAGCUUUGCUGUAAUUAAUAUUAAUUUACUCAUCUUUAGGCGUUGUUUCAUUGUACGGUUUAGUAGUUUAUAACAAGCUAAGCGCUGCUUUUCAAAGCCGAAUUCUGACGCUAAUGACUGGAACAAACGAAAGUUCAUCAAAAAUAGCUACAAUUUCGCAUGAUCAAAAAACUUCAAUUACGAUUAAAUUGAAGAGUAAAAAGAGUUCAUAUUCAACGCUUUUAAAGAUUUAACGAUAAAACACUUUAAAUAGACCAAAUAGAAAUAUUUUCUGAUAGAUAAUAAAGAAUAAAAGCGCAAUAACUGCUUUCAAUCUCGGCUUUCACUUUGAUGCAGAAUUGCGAAUCAAUCGUUUUACAAACCACAAAAGCACCAUGCUUUAUUGACUCGUAAAAACAAACUCACCGCUGUCAUUUUAAUCGGAUACAUACGGCGGCCUAUGAGAAAGCCUACUUUGGAAAGGUGUCCGGUCUCCCAAGUGGGUUAUUGAUGUGACUACUAAAAGCAAUGUCAAUGGGAGAGCUCGAGUUACUUAUACAAAGGUUCAUUUUCUGGCAGCUCGGCAGGUUGUCAACUGAAUGAUUAAUAUAGGACACAAAUUACUUCGAAGUUGAAAGAACAGCUAAAAAAACACGAAGAACUAAGCAAAUACAAUCCAAAGUAUGAUGUACGAAACUUGGAAGAUCUCAAAUAUAUUCGUGAAAAAGUAUACGAAAUAUAUGACGUGCAUUACUGGAUAAAAAUACUCUGGGCUUCAGAGGUACUAUUUCGCUUCGAGUAAUUUUUAUUUCAUUUUCUUAUUUUUACUUUCAUUUUUAUUUUUAUCUUGAUUCUUAUUCUUAUUUUUGACGUGACGUCCCGUCAAAACAGCAAAAGACCGGAGCGAGACCCAAGAGAAGGAAAAAAAUUAUAGAAAGAAAAAAGUUAACUAAAGUCUAACUAAACGUAGUUUGUAGUGCUUUUAAGCAUAUAGUUCUAAUCUUAAAGAAAUAUUGUACAUUACUGAUCAAAGAUUUAUAUUGCUGUAUGAGGUAUAUACAAAGUAGCAGACUAAAGAGAUUAAACCAACAGUAGCAAUUUUGGAAUACUAUUUUUAGUGCUUCGAUUAAAUAACUAAAACGCCAUUAUACAAGACUCAAAGAUUUACGCCCGAGUAUGGAAUACAUGGUAAAUGCAAAGUCCAAAAAAACUGACGAUCAAAGGAAAAAGUUAUACAACCAAAAGAAGCGAUUUUGAAAUGCUAUUUUGGCGCGCUUUAAUUAUGAAAACAAAACAUUGUACAUUUAUAAAAUAAACUUGAAACUUGAAA